UACGGAGGAUGCAAGCGUUAUCCGGAUUUAUUGGGCGUAAAGCGUCCGCAGGUGGUUGUUCAAGUCUGCUGUUAAAGCGCGAGGCUUAACCUUGUACAGGCAGUGGAAACUGAGCGACUAGAGUAUGGUAGGGGUAGCGGGAAUUCCCAGUGUAGCGGUGAAAUGCGUAGAUAUCAGGAGGAAUACCGAUGGCGAAGGCAGGUCUCUGGGCUGACACUGACGCUCAUGCACGAAAGCGUGGGGAGCAAACAGG
rnacentral:rRNA from 1 species